rnacentral:rRNA from 1 species
AGUGAACGCUGGCGGUAGGCCUAACACAUGCAAGUCGAACGGCAGCACAGUAAGAGCUUGCUCUUACGGGUGGCGAGUGGCGGACGGGUGAGGAAUACAUCGGAAUCUACUUUUUCGUGGGGGAUAACGUAGGGAAACUUACGCUAAUACCGCAUACGACCUACGGGUGAAAGCAGGGGAUCUUCGGACCUUGCGCAAUUGAAUGAGCCGAUGUCGGAUUAGCUAGUUGGCGGGGUAAAGGCCCACCAAGGCGACGAUCCGUAGCUGGUCUGAGAGGAUGAUCAGCCACACUGGAACUGAGACACGGUCCAGACUCCUACGGGAGGCAGCAGUGGGGAACAUUGGACAAAGGGCGCAAGCCUGAUCCAGCCAUACCGCGUGGGUGAAGAAGGCCUUCGGGUUGUAAAGCCCUUUUGUUGGGAAAGAAAAGCAGCAGGUUAAUACCCCGCUGUUCUGACGGUACCCAAAGAAUAAGCACCGGCUAACUUCGUG